rnacentral:rRNA from 1 species
CCUACGGGAGGCAGCAGUGGGGAAUAUUGGACAAUGGGCGAAAGCCUGAUCCAGCAAUGCCGCGUGAGUGAUGAAGGCCUUCGGGUCGUAAAGCUCUUUUACCAGGGAUGAUAAUGACAGUACCUGGAGAAUAAGCUCCGGCUAACUCCGUGCCAGCAGCCGCGGUAAUACGGAGGGAGCUAGCGUUGUUCGGAAUUACUGGGCGUAAAGAGUACGUAGGCGGUUAUUCAAGUCAGAGGUGAAAGCCCGGGGCUCAACCCCGGAACUGCCUUUGAAACUAGAUAACUAGAGUCUUGGAGAGGUUAGUGGAAUUCCGAGUGUAGAGGUGAAAUUCGUAGAUAUUCGGAAGAACACCAGUGGCGAAGGCGACUAACUGGACAAGUACUGACGCUGAGGUACGAAAGCGUGGGGAGCAAACAGGAUUAGAUACCCUGGUAGUCCACGCCGUAAACGAUGAUAACUAGUUGUUCGGUCACUUGGUGACUGAGUGACGCAGCUACGCAUUAAGUUAUCCGUCCGUCGGGUAGGUACGGUCGCGAGAGUUAAACGUACGAAAGAAAGUUAGUACGGCGUGUAGACGUUGCGACGGACGACGACGAGGGAGGAGG